GAUGAACGCUGGCGGCGUGCCUAACACAUGCAAGUCGAGCGAACAGACGAGGAGCUUGCUCCUCUGACGUUAGCGGCGGACGGGUGAGUAACACGUGGAUAACCUACCUAUAAUACUGGGAUAACUUCGGGAAACCGGAGCUAAUACCGGAUAAUAUAUUGAACCGCAUGGUUCAAUAGUGAAAGUCGGUUUUGCUGUCACUUAUAGACGGAUCCGCGCCGCAUUAGCUAGUUGGUAAGGUAACGGCUUACCAAGGCAACGAUGCGUAGCCGACCUGAGAGGGGGGUCGGCCACACGGGAGCUGGGACACGGUCCAGGCUCCUACGGGAGGCAGCAGAAGGGAACCUUCCGCAAUGGGCGAAAGCAUGACGGAGCAGCGCCGCGUGAGUGAUGAAGGUCUUCGGAUCGUAAAACUCUGUUAUUAGGGAAAAACAAAUGUGUAAGUAACUAUGCACGUCUUGACGGUACCUGAUCAGAAAGCCACGGCUAACUACGUG
rnacentral:rRNA from 1 species